GUGCUUAACACAUGCAAGUCGAACGGAAAGGCUCCUUCGGGGGUACUCGAGUGGCGAACGGGUGAGUAACACGUGGGUGAUCUGCCCUGCACUUUGGGAUAAGCCUGGGAAACUGGGUCUAAUACCGAAUACACCCUGCUGGUCGCAUGGCCUGGUGGGGGAAAGCUUUUGCGGUGUGGGAUGGGCCCGCGGCCUAUCAGCUUGUUGGUGGGGUGAUGGCCUACCAAGGCGACGACGGGUAGCCGGCCUGAGAGGGUGUCCGGCCACACUGGGACUGAGAUACGGCCCAGACUCCUACGGGAGGCAGCAGUGGGGAAUAUUGCACAAUGGGCGCAAGCCUGAUGCAGCGACGCCGCGUGGGGGAUGACGGCCUUCGGGUUGUAAACCCCUUUCAGUAUCGACGAAGCCGUAAGGUGACGGUAGGUACAGAAGAAGCACCGGCCAACUACGUGCCAGCAGCCGCGGUAAUACGUAGGGUGCGAGCGUUGUCCGGAAUUACUGGGCGUAAAGAGCUCGUAGGUGGUUUGUCGCGUUGUUCGUGAAAUC
rnacentral:rRNA from 1 species